CCCAGACUCCUACGGGAGGCAGCAGUCGGGAAUAUUGCGCAAUGGAGGAAACUCUGACGCAGUGACGCCGCGUAUAGGAAGAAGGUUUUCGGAUUGUAAACUAUUGUCGUGAGGGAAGAAAUUGACAGUACCUCAGGAGGAAGCUCCGGCUAACUAUGUGCCAGCAGCCGCGGUAAUACGUAGGGAGCGAGCGUUAUCCGGAAUUAUUGGGUGUAAAGGGUGCGUAGACGGGAAAACAAGUUAGUUGUGAAAUCCCUCGGCUUAACUGAGGAACUGCAACUAAAACUAUUUUUCUUGAGUGCAGGAGAGGUAAGUGGAAUUCCUAGUGUAGCGGUGAAAUGCGUAGAUAUUAGGAGGAACACCAGUGGCGAAGGCGACUUACUGGACUGUAACUGAGGUUGAGGCACGAAAGUGUGGGGAGCAAACAGGAUUAGAUACCCGGGUAA
rnacentral:rRNA from 1 species